AUCGAACGCUGGCGGCAGGCCUAACACAUGCAAGUCGAACGAGUGGCGGACGGGUGAGUAAUGUCUGGGAAACUUCCCGAUGGAGGGGGAUCACCACUGGAAACGGUCGCUAAUACCGCCUACUAUCAGAUGUGCCCAGAUGGGAAUAGCUUGUUGGUGGGGUAACGGCUCACCAAGGCGAGGAUCCCUAGCUGGUCGGAGAGGAUGACCAGCCACACUGGAACGGGGACACGGUCCGAACUCCUACGGAGGGCACCAGUGGGGAAUAUUGCACAAUGGGCGCAAGCCUGAUGCAGCCAGGCCGCGUGUAUGAGGAAGGCCUUCGGGUUGUAAAGUACUUUCAGCGGGGAGGCGUUACCCGCAGAGGAAGCACCGGCUAACUCCGUGCCAGCAGCCGCGGUAAUUC
rnacentral:rRNA from 1 species